CAGGGGAUAACAUUUGGAAACAAGUGCUAAUACCGUAUAAUACCAACAACCGCAUGGUUGUUGGUUGCAAGAUGGUUCUGCUAUCACUAAGAGAUGGACCCGCGGUGCAUUAGCUAGUUGGUAAGGUAACGGCUUACCAAGGCAAUGAUGCAUAGCCGAGUUGAGAGACUGAUCGGCCACAAUGGGACUGAGACACGGCCCAUACUCCUACGGGAGGCAGCAGUAGGGAAUCUUCCACAAUGGGCGCAAGCCUGAUGGAGCAACGCCGCGUGUGUGAUGAAGGGUUUCGGCUCGUAAAACACUGUUAUAAGAGAAGAACGGCACUGAGAGUAACUGUUCAGUGUGUGACGGUAUCUUACCAGAAAGGAACGGCUAAAUACGUGCCAGCAGCCGCGGUAAUACGUAUGUUCCAAGCGUUAUCCGGAUUUAUUGGGCGUAAAGCGAGCGCAGACGGUUAUUUAAGUCUGAAGUGAAAGCCCUCAGCUCAACUGAGGAAUGGCUUUGGAAACUGGAUGACUUGAGUGCAGUAGAGGAAAGUGGAACUCCAUGUGUAGCGGUGAAAUGCGUAGAUAUAUGGAAGAACACCAGUGGCGAAGGCGGCUUUCUGGACUGUAACUGACGUUGAGGCU
rnacentral:rRNA from 1 species